AACAGGAUUAGAUACCCUGGUAGUCCACGCCCUAAACGAUGUCAACUAGUUGUUGGUAGAGUAAAAUCUAUGAGUAACGCAGCUAACGCGUGAAGUUGACCGCCUGGGGAGUACGAUCGCAAGAUUAAAACUCAAAUGAAUUGACGGGGGCCCGCACAAGCGGUGGAUUAUGUGGAUUAAUUCGAUGCAACGCGAAAAACCUUACCUGGCCUUGACAUGUACGGAACUUUCCAGAGAUGGAUUGGUGCUCGAAAGAGAACCGUAACACAGGUGCUGCAUGGCUGUCGUCAGCUCGUGUCGUGAGAUGUUGGGUUAAGUCCCGCAACGAGCGCAACCCUUGCCAAUAAUUGCCAUCAUUUAGUUGGGCACUUUAUUGGGACUGCCGAUGACAAAUCGGAGGAAGGUGGGGAUGACGUCAAGUCCUCAUGGCCCUUAUGGCCAGGGCUUCACACGUAAUACAAUGGUCGGUACAGAGGGUUGCCAAGCCGCGAGGUGGAGCCAAUCCCAGAAAGCCGAUCGUAGUCCGGAUUGCAGGCUGCAACUCGCCUGCAUGAAGUCGGAAUCGCUAGUAAUCGCGGAUCAGCAUGUCGCGGUGAAUACGUUCCCGGGCCUUGUACACACCGCCCGUCACACCAUGGGAGUGGGUUUUACCAGAAGUAGGUAGUCUAACCGCAAGGAGGACGCUUACCACGGUAGUAUUCAUGACUGGGGUGAAGUCGUAACAAGGUAACC
rnacentral:rRNA from 1 species